AUGGAGAAGAUGCAGGCGACGUUGGAUGAGAUCCUGACCCGCUUCACCGCCACGGAUACCAGCGUCAAGACCGUCUCCGAGGAGGUCAUCAGCCUGCGCAAACAGGUAGAGGAGUUUGGCGACGAGAUGGACCACAUCAAGCGCCGCGUCCACGACACCGGCAAGUCAACCCCAUCGUCCUCGUCCGCGCUGCAUCAGGAGACCGCUCCGCCACCUGCCGACAAGGGCCAUGGAGUGCCGCUGCUCGUCAAUAAUCAUCCGCCGCUGCUUGGAACUCCUCAACAGCAGCCGUCCGGAUUUCACACCGCGCCGUCAUCACCACAUGAGCAGGAUGUGCGGCCCACCCUCCACGCCCAACCAGAUCAGGAGGAGUACCGGCCGCGUCAACCACGCCAUGAUUUUCCACGUUUCCAUGGUGAGAUGCCCCUGCUUUGGAUAGACCAGUGCUUGACUUAUUUCGAGAUGUACCGAGUGCCUGUUCAUCACUAG
rnacentral:rRNA from 1 species